rnacentral:sRNA from 1 species
UAACUGCUGUUUCCACAACAGGAGUGCCU